rnacentral:rRNA from 1 species
CAGCAGCCGCGGUAAUACGUAGGUGGCAAGCGUUGUCCGGAAUUAUUGGGCGUAAAGCGCGCGCAGGCGGCCUAUCCAGUCUGUCUUAAAAGUUCGGGGCUCAACCCCGUGAUGGGAUGGAAACUAGUAGGCUAGAGUAUCGGAGAGGAAAGCGGAAUUCCUAGUGUAGCGGUGAAAUGCGUAGAUAUUAGGAAGAACACCAGUGGCGAAGGCGGCUUUCUGGACGAAAACUGACGCUGAGGCGCGAAAGCGUGGGGAGUAAACAGGAUUAGAGACCCCCGUAGUCCCUGUCUCUUAUACA